rnacentral:rRNA from 1 species
AGAGUUUGAUCAUGGCUCAGAUUGAACGCUGGCGGCAGGCUUAACACAUGCAAGUCGAGCGGGGGAAGGUAGCUUGCUACCGGACCUAGCGGCGGACGGGUGAGUAAUGCUUAGGAAUCUGCCUAUUAGUGGGGGACAACAUCUCGAAAGGGAUGCUAAUACCGCAUACGUCCUACGGGAGAAAGCAGGGGAUCUUCGGACCUUGCGCUAAUAGAUGAGCCUAAGUCGGAUUAGCUAGUUGGUGGGGUAAAGGCCUACCAAGGCGACGAUCUGUAGCGGGUCUGAGAGGAUGAUCCGCCACACUGGGACUGAGACACGGCCCAGACUCCUACGGGAGGCAGCAGUGGGGAAUAUUGGACAAUGGGGGGAACCCUGAUCCAGCCAUGCCGCGUGUGUGAAGAAGGCCUUAUGGUUGUAAAGCACUUUAAGCGAGGAGGAGGCUACUUUAGUUAAUACCUAGAGAUAGUGGACGUUACUCGCAGAAUAAGCACCAGCUAACUCUGUGCCAGCAGCCGCGGUAAUACAGAGGGUGCGAGCGUUAAUCGGAUUUACUGGGCGUAAAGCGUGCGUAGGCGGCUUAUUAAGUCGGAUGUGAAAUCCCCGAGCUUAACUUGGGAAUUGCAUUCGAUACUGGUGAGCUAGAGUAUGGGAGAGGAUGGUAGAAUUCCAGGUGUAGCGGUGAAAUGCGUAGAGAUCUGGAGGAAUACCGAUGGCGAAGGCAGCCAUCUGGCCUAAUACUGACGCUGAGGUACGAAAGCAUGGGGAGCAAACAGGAUUAGAUACCCUGGUAGUCCAUGCCGUAAACGAUGUCUACUAGCCGUUGGGGCCUUUGAGGCUUUAGUGGCGCAGCUAACGCGAUAAGUAGACCGCCUGGGGAGUACGGUCGCAAGACUAAAACUCAAAUGAAUUGACGGGGGCCCGCACAAGCGGUGGAGCAUGUGGUUUAAUUCG